GUCGGCUGCCGACAUUCGGAAAGCCAAUCUCGAGAAAAAACUUGCUGCCCAGGCGGCGAAGAAGGACGGGAAGCAGAUGCCCCGGUCCCUUCAAAAACAGGUCAGGCCUCCGCCGACCCAACAAGAGUCUGCAUCCAAGGUGCAGAAGACAGCCGACCGGCAAACUACCGGCGGCAAAUCAAUAAGGGUCCCAGACGGGCCUGGAUCUGCGGAUGUGCUUUCUGCCAUCCCAUUGAGGACCGCAACCGGUCCCUCUGAAGGCCGUUCGGGCCGCCAAGAUAAUUCUCCCCGCUGGCCGGACGGGGCACAAUAUGCCCG